ACACUUAAAAAUGGUUAACGCGAGAGUCCGAGUGGAGCUAGCGAGCCGAGUGGUUGUGUGGUCGCGUCUCGGAAACCAGUAGCGCUUGCAGCAUGGCUGACCAACUGACUGAAGAGCAGAUUGCAGAAUUCAAAGAAGCUUUUUCACUAUUUGACAAGGAUGGUGAUGGAACUAUAACAAAGGAAUUGGGAACUGUGAUGAGGUCUCUUGGGCAGAAUCCCACAGAAGCAGAGUUACAGGACAUGAUCAAUGAAGUAGAUGCUGAUGGUAAUGGAACAAUUGACUUCCCUGAAUUUCUGACCAUGAUGGCAAGAAAAAUGAAAGACACAGACAGUGAAGAAGAAAUUAGAGAAGCAUUCCGUGUGUUUGACAAGGAUGGCAAUGGCUAUAUUAGUGCAGCAGAGCUUCGCCAUGUGAUGACAAACCUUGGAGAGAAGUUAACAGAUGAAGAGGUUGAUGAAAUGAUCAGGGAAGCAGAUAUUGAUGGUGAUGGUCAAGUAAACUAUGAAGAGUUUGUACAAAUGAUGACAGCAAAGCGAAGACGUUGUACAGAAUGUGUUAAAUUUCUUGUACGAAAUUAUUUAUUUGCCUUUUCUUUGUUUGUAACUUAUCUGUAAAAGGUAACUUAUCUGUAAAAGGUCAAAAAAAUAUGCAUGUAUAGUAAUUAGGACUUCAUUCCUCCAUGUUUUCUUCCCUUAUCUUACUGUCAUUGUCCUGAAACCUUAUUUUAGAAAAUUGA